CGUUGGUGGCAUCUUCGUUGUGUUAGGCGCGUUGUUGGGGCGUUGGGUGACAUCAACAUGGUGUUGGGUGACGUCAUCAGGACCUUGGGGACAUCAUCAGGGGGUUGGGUGAUGGCACUGGGGCCUUGGGGGGCGUCAUCGGGGCAUUGGUGGCAUCUUCGUUGCGUUGGGGGACAUCAUUGGGGUCUUCGGUGGCGUUGGGUGGCAUCAUCGGGGCAUUGGUGGCGUCUUUGUUGUGUUGGGCGCGUCGUUGGGGCGUUGGGUGACGUCAGUGUGGUGUUGGGUGACAUUAAUGUGACGUUGGGUGACGUCACGGGGAUGUUGGGUGACGUCACCAGGGUGCGGACAGCCUCAGCAGGGUGUUGGUGACGUCAUUGGGUGUUGGGUGACAUCCACGUGACAUUGGGUGACGUCAUCGGGGUGUUGGGUGAUGUCACCAUGGUGUUGGGUGACGUCAUCAGGGUGUCCCUGUGGUGUUGGGUGACGUCACCGUGACGCCGGGUGAUGUCAUCACGGUGUCCCCACGGCGUUGGGUGACAUCAUCGCAGUGUUGGGUGACGUCACCGUGACACUGGGUGACGUCAUCAGGGUGUCCCCAAGGCGUUGGGUGACGUCACCAUGACGCCGGGUGACGUCAUCAGGGUGUCCCCAUGGCGUUGGGUGACGUCAUCAUGGUGUUGGGUGACGUCAUUGUGACAUCACUGUGGCUUUGGGUGACGACACCCCCUGGGCGUCGGGUGACAUCACCGUGACGUCACCGUGGCAUCGGGUGACAUCAUGAUGACGUCAUCGUGACGUCACCACGGCGACGCCCCCGCCAUACCCAAUCGUGGCACCACCCUUGGGUGCUAUCACCCCCCCCCCCCCCCCCCCCCCA
rnacentral:lncRNA from 1 species